rnacentral:rRNA from 1 species
UACGUAGGGGGCAAGCGUUGUCCGGAAUCAUUGGGCGUAAAGCGCGUGUAGGCGGCCAGGUAAGUCCGUUCUGAAAGCCCGGGGCUCAACCCCGGGAGGCGGAUGGAUACUGCUUGGCUCGAGUCCGGAAGAGGCGAGUGGAAUUCCCGGUGUAGCGGUGAAAUGCGCAGAUAUCGGGAGGAACACCGGUGGCGAAGGCGGCGACCUGGGUAGAUACUGACGCUGAGGUGCGAAAGCGUGGGGAGCAAACAGG